GGGUAAUAAAAGCCUGUCAGGUCUGUCAAUUGGUUAAUGCUUACCCUUCCAAACUUCCUGCAGGAAAGCACCUAUGAGGAACCAGACAAGGACAAUUCAGGGAAGUGGACUUUACUGAAAUUAAGCCAGCCAAGUAUGGACUUAAAAAUCUCCUAGUCUUUGUAGAUACAUUUUCAGGAUGGAUUGAAGCCUUUCCCACAAAAUUAAAAAAAAAAACAAUGGUGCAAAUGGUGGUCAAGAAUAUCCUGAAAGAUAUUUUUCCAAGAUACGGCCUGCCUAAGGUAAUAGGGUCUGAUAAUGGACCAGCGUUCAUGGCCCAGGUAAGUCAGGGGUUAGUCAGGACCCUGGGGAUUAAUUGGAAGUUACAUUGUGCUUAUAGACCCCAGAGUUCAGGACAGGUAAAAAAAUAA
rnacentral:lncRNA from 1 species